AAUAGCGUAUAUUAAAGUUGUUGCGGUUAAAAAGCUCGUAGUUGGAUUUCUGUUGAGGACGGCCGGUCCGCACUAUGUGCGUGUAUCUGGUUCGGCCUCGGCAUCCUCUCGAAAGCCGUUUCUGCGCUUGAUUGCGUGGUUCGGACUUCGGGACUUUUACUUUGAGGAAAUUAGAGUGUUCACGGCAGGCAAGCGCCUUGAAUAUAUUAGCAUGGAAUAAUAAUAUAGGAUCUUGGUCCUAUUUUGUUGGUUUCUAGGGCUAAGAUAAUGAUUAAUAGGGACAAUUGGGGGCAUUCGUAUUAACGCGUCAGAGGUGGAAUUCUUGGAUUGCGUUACGACGAACUACUGCGAAAGCAUUUGCCAAGGAUGUUUUCAUUGA
rnacentral:rRNA from 1 species